rnacentral:rRNA from 1 species
UACAGAGGGUGCGAGCGUUGUCCGGAAUCACUGGGCGUAAAGGGCGCGUAGGCGGCUUGAUAAGCGUGCGGUGAAAGCCCGGGGCUCAACCCCGGGUCGGCCGUGCGAACUGUCGAGCUGGAGCACUGUAGAGGCAGGUGGAAUUCCUGGUGUAGCGGUGAAAUGCGUAGAUAUCAGGAGGAAUACCGGUGGCGAAAGCGACUCUCUGGACGGCAACUGACGCUGAGGCACGAAAGCGUGGGGAGCAAACAGG